GAUGAAGAACGUAGCGAAAUGCGAUAAGUAAUGUGAAUUGCAGAAUUCAGUGAAUCAUCGAAUCUUUGAACGCACAUUGCGCCCGCCAGUAUUCUGGCGGGCAUGCCUGUUCGAGCGUCAUUACAACCCUCAGGCCCCCGGGCCUGGCGUUGGGGAUCGGCGGAGCCCCCGUGGGCACACGCCGUCCCCCAAAUGCAGUGGCGGUCCCGCCGCAGCUUCCAUCGCGUAGUAGCUAACACCUCGCGACUGGAGAGCGGCGCGGCCACGCCGUAAAACACCCAACUCUUCUGAAGUUGACCUCGAAUCAGGUAGGAAUACCCGCUGAACUUAAGCAUAUCAAUAAGCGGAGGA
rnacentral:misc_RNA from 1 species